rnacentral:rRNA from 1 species
GAUGAACGCUGGCGGCGUGCUUAACACAUGCAAGUCGAACGAUGAAGCCCAGCUUGCUGGGUGGAUUAGUGGCGAACGGGUGAGUAACACGUGAGUAACCUGCCCUUGACUCUGGGAUAAGCCUGGGAAACUGGGUCUAAUACUGGAUAUGACUUCUCAUCGCAUGGUGGGGGGUGGAAAGAUUUAUUGGUCUUGGAUGGACUCGCGGCCUAUCAGCUUGUUGGUGAGGUAAUAGCUCACCAAGGCGACGACGGGUAGCCGGCCUGAGAGGGUGACCGGCCACACUGGGACUGAGACACGGCCCAGACUCCUACGGGAGGCAGCAGUGGGGAAUAUUGCACAAUGGGCGGAAGCCUGAUGCAGCGACGCCGCGUGAGGGAUGACGGCCUUCGGGUUGUAAACCUCUUUCAGUAGGGAAGAAGCGAGAGUGACGGUACCUGCAGAAGAAGCGCCGGCUAACUACGUG